rnacentral:rRNA from 1 species
UACGGAGGGGGCUAGCGUUGUUCGGAAUUACUGGGCGUAAAGCGCACGUAGGCGGAUCAGUCAGUCAGGGGUGAAAUCCCGGGGCUCAACCCCGGAACUGCCUUUGAUACUGCUGGUCUGGAGGUCGAGAGAGGUGAGUGGAAUUCCGAGUGUAGAGGUGAAAUUCGUAGAUAUUCGGAGGAACACCAGUGGCGAAGGCGGCGAACUGGCUAGAUACUGACGCUGAGGUGCGAAAGCGUGGGGAGCAAACAGGAUUAGAAACCCCCGUAGUCC